ACUUUUAUCCCGUCACGCAUUUAGAGUCUAAAUCUCAAACACUUUAACUAAUGAAAACAUGUACCAACAGACACUCUUAAAAGACAGGAUGAUAAGAUCAGAUGAAUCUUCAUUGUCAUUGAAGUUGUCAAACUUUUGUACAAUAGUACAACAAAAUUUGAAUCUCGUUCACAUCGGUGCUAUAAAAGAAGAACGUGCAAUUGUCAAAAAAAACAUUAAAUACAAUUAUUAAAAUAUCGCACACCAGGUGGAGCCAGAGAAGAGCAGCACUUCAUCUUCAACAAUGCUGACAUCCACUUACAGCUCUAUACAGGCCAAACAAGACUCCAAAAUGGAACAAACUCUCACCUACACCCCAGCAACAUCAACAUGACCAAUAAAAUACAUCUGUUGCCCCAAAACAACCUUUAGUGACCUCCACAGUGACGUUUUCAGUCUGUCGUAAUCUCUACUUUACGUCUAUGGUGACAAAUAUUGAUUGAACUCAAAUAAACGUAGAGCCAUUCACCUCUCUUGUAUUUGUAAGAGCUGGAAAACAGGAAGUGUACAGUAGAAGAGGAUGUUCAUGAAACCUGUCAGAGGUUAACGGUUAAUAGCGUGCACUGUAUUAGCUGCACUUUUAUUAGCAUUGUGUUCAAACCUCAAUCAGAUAAGACCUGAAAGCAAAGUCCCUGAAAUAUCAGUAAUUAUACAGCUAUAGGAGACGCAGAUUAAUCAGUAAACGCCUUCAAAGUGUUCGAUUGGACUUUAUGGCCAAGACAGGGAGAUAUUUAGAGGAGAGCUUUUCUUUCUGAGCUGCUCACUGUUCAUCACUGCAGUCUGAGGCAAGAAGCUUACAGCUCAGGACUGAGUAGAGAAACAUAACGACCAGGAUGUUCAAACUAGUCCUGCUGCUCCUGACAGUGUCGGGCCUCCAAGCUGCUCCAAUCGAAGCCCCCAAAGGUCUGCAGAAGUCGAUCUACCAGCUCUCUGAUGGCUUUCGACAGGGUACCGAACCCUCCAGAAGGUUCCUGGUUAAUCUGGACACUGGCAUGGUGCAGGAACACAUCAGCGAGAUGGAAAGGAGAGCAGUCCCAGCUGAUGUUCCAGUCCAGAGGAACGGUGCUGGUUGGGUCCGUGUGCAAGAACCUUCAACUUCUCAUAUCCCAACCGGUUUCAGGCAGGGAACAGAACCUUCUCUUCACAUCCCAGAUGGUUUCAGGCAGGGAACAGAACCUUC